rnacentral:rRNA from 1 species
CAAGGUCUCCGUUGGUGAACCAGCGGAGGGAUCAUUACCGAGUUUACAACUCCCAAACCCCUGUGAACAUACCUAUAAUUUGCCUCGGCGGACUCAACGACGGUGCUCCGAGAAAUCGGUCGCCGCUCGCUGCCAGAGGAACCCCAAACUCUAUGUAUUCUUGUGGAUCUUCUGAGUAAAACAAAACAAAUAAAUCAAAACUUUCAACAACGGAUCUCUUGGUUCUGGCAUCGAUGAAGAACGCAGCGAAAUGCGAUAAGUAAUGUGAAUUGCAGAAUUCAGUGAAUCAUCGAAUCUUUGAACGCACAUUGCGCCCGCCAGUAUUCUGGCGGGCAUGCCUGUUCGAGCGUCAUUUCAACCCUCAAGCCCCCGGGCUUGGUGUUGGGGAUCGGCGAUAGUCGCCGUCCCCCAAAUCUAGUGGCGGUCUCGCUGUAGCCUCCAUUGCGUAGUAGCUAACACCUCGCAACUGGAACGCGGCGCGGCCAAGCCGUUAAACCCCCAACUUCUGAAUGUUGACCUCGGAUCAGGUAGGAAUACCCGCUGAACUUAAGCA